rnacentral:rRNA from 1 species
AAAUUGAAGAGUUUGAUCAUGGCUCAGAUUGAACGCUGGCGGCAGGCCUAACACAUGCAAGUCGAACGGUAACAGGAAGCAGCUUGCUGCUUCGCUGACGAGUGGCGGACGGGUGAGUAAUGUCUGGGAAACUGCCUGAUGGAGGGGGAUAACUACUGGAAACGGUAGCUAAUACCGCAUAACGUCGAAAGACCAAAGAGGGGGACCUUCGGGCCUCUUGCCAUCGGAUGUGCCCAGAUGGGAUUAGCUUGUUGGUGG